rnacentral:rRNA from 1 species
AAUGAACGCUGGCGGCGUGCUUAACACAUGCAGGUCGAACGGUAACAGAGAGAAGCUUGCUUCUCUGCUGACGAGUGGCGCACGGGUGAGUAAUAUAUAGGUUACGUGCCUCUUAGUCUGGGAUAGCCACUGGAAACGGUGAUUAAUACUGGAUAUUCCUGCUUGCAGGGAAAGGUUUUUCGCUAAGAGAUCGGCCUAUACUGUAUCAGUUAGUUGGUGAGGUAAUGGCUCACCAAGACGAUGACACAUAGCGGGUUUGAGAGGAUGAUCCGCCACACUGGUACUGAGACACGGACCAGACUCCUACGGGAGGCAGCAGUGAGGAAUAUUGCACAAUGGGGGAAACCCUGAUGCAGCAACGCCGCGUGGAGGAUGACGCAUUUCGGUGUGUAAACUCCUUUUAUCAGAGAAGAACAUGACGGUAUCUGAUGAAUAAGCUCCGGCUAACUCCGUGCCAGCAGCCGCGGUAAUACGGAGGGAGCAAGCGUUAUUCGGAAUCACUGGGCGUAAAGGACGCGUAGGCGGGUUAUUAAGUCAGAUGUGAAAUCCUAUGGCUCAACCAUAGAACUGCAUUUGAAACUGGUAACCUAGAGUAUGGAAGGGGAAGAUGGAAUUAGUGGUGUAGGGGUAAAAUCCGUAGAUAUCACUAGGAAUACCGAAAGCGAAGGCGAUCUUCUGGGACAUUACUGACGCUGAGGCGUGAAAGCGUGGGGAGCAAACAGGAUUAGAUACCCUGGUAGUCCACGCCCUAAACGAUGAAUGCUAGUCGUCGGAGAGCUCGUCUCUUCGGUGAUGCAGUUAACACAUUAAGCAUUCCGCCUGGGGAGUACGGUCGCAAGAUUAAAACUCAAAGGAAUAGACGG